CCUACGGGAGACAGCAGUGGGGAAUAUUGCACAAUGGGGGGAACCCUGAUGCAGCGACGCCGCGUGGGUGAAGGAGUAUUUCGGUAUGUAAAGCCCUAUCAGCAGGGAAGAACAAUGACGGUACCUGACUAAGAAGCACCGGCUAAAUACGUGCAAGCAGCCGCGGUAAUACGUAUGGUGCAAGCGUUAUCCGGAUUUACUGGGUGUAAAGGGAGCGCAGGCGGCGCGUUAAGCCUGGUGUGAAAGUCCGCGGCCCAACCGCGGGACUGCAUUGGGAACUGGCGCGCUGGAGUGCCGGAGGGGUAGGCGGAAUUCCUAGUGUAGCGGUGAAAUGCGUAGAUAUUAGGAGGAACACCAGUGGCGAAGGCGGCCUACUGGACGGUGACUGACGCUGAGGCUCGAAAGCGUGGGGAGCAAACAGGAUUAGAUACCCUUGUAGUC
rnacentral:rRNA from 1 species